CAGGUUCUGAAGUACUGCCGUCUCCUCGUGCACAAUCAAGGUUUUUCUGAUUGCAUAUGAUCGCCUCAAGAUUACAGAUGACAGGGUGGAGGAUGUUUCACCAGAUAUGUUUAAGGAACACAAUGGGUUCUAUAAGUCCCUGUUCUCCCUGCAGCAGACCCCUUGUUCCCUACAGCACCUGACUUGCUGGACACUACAGAACUACCUAGAUGGACAUGUGCACAAGAUGGUGCCACACCUAGACCUGCCCACCUUCAUCAAGAACAACCUGCUGCUGUAGUUCAAAUACUAUGUUCACUGAGUCAGAGAUAGAGCCAGGAUGUAUAUAACCCUAAACACUGGAUGUAUGGCAUGCAUGGUAUGAUAUGAUGAGAGCUCCCAGCACUAUAGAGCUCUGUAUGUACUGUAGGCUACAGCACAAACACUAGGAAACACUAGGAAUUCAGUCUGUCUGUGACAAUAUUUGUUUUGCAGAAUGACACAGGAGGGUCAUCGUCACAGACCUACUGAUUGUGGUACUAAGUUGACUACCACUCCUGGGUUCAGAAUCAUUGAAAUUGCAGAGUGUGAGUAAAUGGAUACCAUUAUGUACUGUACAAUAUAUGGCAAAACAAUCUAUGUCAAAAAGUAUGUAUUUACACUUGAUUGUGUUCAUUGUAUUGCUAUUAUAUUAUAAGAAAAAAUGUCAUUUGCUUUACAAGCAGAACCGUGUUUCUCCGCUUCACCACAAGGGGGUGUUGUGGUCUUUAAAUGACAAAUUAAAGAGAUGUACUGUA